rnacentral:snRNA from 1 species
GGAUGUGAGGGCGAUCUGGCUGCGACAUCUGUCACCCCAUUGAUCGCCAGGGUUGAUUCGGCUGAUCUGGUUGGCUAGGCGGGUGUCCUCUUCCUCCCUCACCGCUCCAUGUGCGUCCCUCCCGAAGCUGCGCGCUCGGUCGAAGAGGACGACCUUCCCUGAUAGAGGAGGACCGUUCUUCGGUCAAGGGUAUACGAGUAGCUGCGCUCCCCUGCUAGAACCUCCAAACAAGCUCUCAAGGUCCAUUUGUAGGAGAACGUAGGGUAGUCAAGCUUCCAAGACUCCAGACACAUCCAAAUGAGGCGCUGCACGUGGCAGUCUGCCUUUCU